rnacentral:rRNA from 1 species
GAUGAACGCUGGCGGCGUGCCUAAUAUAUGCAAGUCGAGCGAACAGACGAGGAGCUUGCUCCUCUGACGUUAGCGGCGGAUGGGUGAGUAACACGUGGAUAACCUACCUAUAAGACUGGGAUAACUUCGGGAAACCGGAGCUAAUACCGGAUAAUAUAUUGAACCGCAUGGUUCAAUAGUGAAAGACGGUUUUGCUGUCACUUAUAGAUGGAUCCGCGCCGCAUUAGCUAGUUGGUAAGGUAACGGCUUACCAAGGCAACGAUGCGUAGCCGACCUGAGAGGGUGAUCGGCCACACUGGAACUGAGACACGGUCCAGACUCCUACGGGAGGCAGCAGUAGGGAAUCUUCCGCAAUGGGCGAAAGCCUGACGGAGCGACGCCGCGUGAGUGAUGAAGGUCUUCGGAUCGUAAAACUCUGUUAUUAGGGAAGAACAAAUGUGUAAGUAACUAUGCACGUCUUGACGGUACCUAAUCAGAAAGCCACGGCUAACUACGUGCCAGCCGCCGCAGUAA